AGUCCAACAGCAUAUAUAAGAAAUCUCAAGCCAGUUUGAGCUUCUUUUUAUUCUAUUGAUUGUAUGAACAUGGUGAGAUGGAACAAUAUGGCAGAAGUGUCGGGAUCUGCUUGUCUCUCUCGCCAUCUGUCUGUUGCUGCAGGAUAGUAUGAGUGGGGUAUGUGAAUAGAGGUGCGCUUUGGAUAUUGGAUAAUAAACAUGUACAUUUCGGUGCCGCUGCUAGCUGAUACCUGACUGUUUUGUGUCGCCGUGUCGGCUCACGACAGUUGACGUUUCUUCUCAUACUUUUUUUUUCUUGUCUUUCUGUGGCACACUCUCAGUCUUAACUCUUUUCUCGGACUCCUCCUCUUUCUGUUCCUUCUCUCGCUACAGCAUGUCACUCCCUUCCUCUUUCUGUGUCUCUGCACCCCCCACCUCCUCCCGUCCUCCCCUCCUUUUUCUCUCCUUCCCUCUUGGCAGCGGUGCCAAAGUGGGCUGGCAGACCGAAGCAAACACAGCACAGGGCAGAGCAGAGGGUGAUCCAAAGGCUGGUGAAUUGAUUAUGUUGGCUGUGUGUGAGCAGACGUCCCUCUGUCACCUCGUGUACGGACAGACGCACUCACGCCAGUAGGAGGGGAUUGUGGGAAGGGGGUGUAGCUCUCAGAGGGUGUGCUCUACUCCUCUCUUUUCCCUUCUUCCCGCCAUCACGGCCCUCUUCUCCUUCAGUCCUCCGGCCCAGCCCGCCGCUCACAUACAGGCUUCAGGAAGGAUACCUUUGUGGAUCUUCGAUGUUGAAGCAACGUGGAUGCUGUCCUUGGAGCUGAGGUAGUAGAUUGAAUAGUUGUGGGGUUUUGUAACCUCUUUUUUAAAUAACUAUACAAUCUACUGUCUUUCCCAAGAGACAGCCGAGUCAGCCACUCGCCGACUGCCAUCUCCAAGCAAAAAUAUGAGCUUUCAGCAGUCUUAUUCUUGUUUUCACGUCGAGCAGGUAAAUAGGUCCAACAUUUUUCGAAAGGCGAACCUGGGGUGUGUUUGACUUGGGCUCUGACAGGGUGAGGUAGUAGGUUGUAUAGUUUGGUGGGUGGGACUGCACCCUGCUCAGGUGAUAACUAUACAGUCUAUUGCCUUCCCUGAGGAGCUCACUGCACACUGAGGAACAUAUGCUCAUGGCUCAAGUAUGAAUUUUAUUGCCAGAUAUAAUAAAAAAGGAGGAGGAAGACACGCAGGACUUACACGAGUAGUGUUGAAUUGACUGAAAAUGUUAACUUAUGUGCUUUUAAAAUAUGUACAUUUUAAUAAAGUCACGUUUGUGUUAAAUAAGUGGUCCAAAAAUCAGUGAAUGGCAACUUGAAAUUAUUUGUCACA